rnacentral:rRNA from 1 species
AUUGAACGCUGGCGGCAGGCCUAACACAUGCAAGUCGAGCGGAUGAAGGGAGCUUGCUCCUGGAUUCAGCGGCGGACGGGUGAGUAAUGCCUAGGAAUCUGCCUGGUAGUGGGGGAUAACGUCCGGAAACGGGCGCUAAUACCGCAUACGUCCUGAGGGAGAAAGUGGGGGAUCUUCGGACCUCACGCUAUCCGAUGAGCCUAGGUCGGAUUAGCUAGUUGGUGGGGUAAAGGCCUACCAAGGCGACGAUCCGUAACUGGUCUGAGCGGAUGAUCAGUCACACUGGAACUGAGACACGGUCCAGACUCCUACGGGAGGCAGCAGUGGGGAAUAUUGGACAAUGGGCGAAAGCCUGAUCCAGCCAUGCCGCGUGUGUGAAGAAGGUCUUCGGAUUGUAAAGCACUUUGAGUUGGGAGGAAGGGCAGUAAGUUAAUACCUUGCUGUUUUGACGUUACCAACAGAAUAAGCACCGGCUAACUUCGUG